rnacentral:rRNA from 1 species
UACAGAGGGGGCGAGCGUUGUUCGGAAUUACUGGGCGUAAAGGGCGCGUAGGCGGCCCGCUAAGUCGAACGUGAAAUCCCCAGGCUCAACCUGGGAACUGCGUCCGAUACUGGCAGGCUUGAAUCCGGGAGAGGGAUGUGGAAUUCCUGGUGUAGCGGUGAAAUGCGCGGAUAUCAGGAGGAACACCGGCGGCGAAGGCGGCACUCUGGGCCGGUACUGACGCUGAGGAGCGAAAGCGUGGGUAGCAAACAGG